rnacentral:tRNA from 2 species
GCCCGCCUAGCUCAAUCGGAUAGAGCGUCAGACUUUUAAGGCGGGUAGUCUUGAUCUGAAGGCUGCGAGUUCGACCCUCGCGGUGGGCU